rnacentral:rRNA from 1 species
GAGAGUUUGAUCCUGGCUCAGAUUGAACGCUGGCGGCAGGCCUAACACAUGCAAGUCGAGCGGAUGAAGAGAGCUUGCUCUCUGAUUCAGCGGCGGACGGGUGAGUAAUGCCUAGGAAUCUGCCUGGUAGUGGGGGACAACGUUUCGAAAGGAACGCUAAUACCGCAUACGUCCUACGGGAGAAAGCAGGGGACCUUCGGGCCUUGCGCUAUCAGAUGAGCCUAGGUCGGAUUAGCUAGUAGGUGAGGUAAUGGCUCACCUAGGCGACGAUCCGUAACUGGUCUGAGAGGAUGAUCAGUCACACUGGAACUGAGACACGGUCCAGACUCCUACGGGAGGCAGCAGUGGGGAAUAUUGGACAAUGGGCGAAAGCCUGAUCCAGCCAUGCCGCGUGUGUGAAGAAGGUCUUCGGAUUGUAAAGCACUUUAAGUUGGGAGGAAGGGCAGUAAGUUAAUACCUUGCUGUUUUGACGUUACCAACAGAAUAAGCACCGGCUAACUUCGUGCCAGCAGCCGCGGUAAUACGAAGGGUGCAAGCGUUAAUCGGAAUUACUGGGCGUAAAGCGCGCGUAGGUGGUUCAGCAAGUUGGAGGUGAAAUCCCCGGGCUCAACCUGGGAACUGCCUCCAAAACUACUGAGCUAGAGUACGGUAGAGGGUAGUGGAAUUUCCUGUGUAGCGGUGAAAUGCGUAGAUAUAGGAAGGAACACCAGUGGCGAAGGCGACUACCUGGACUGAUACUGACACUGAGGUGCGAAAGCGUGGGGAGCAAACAGGAU